UUAAAAAAGAAAUGUCAGGCUAAAUUCGGCGAGCACAGUGAUUUGCUUUGUACGUGGCAAUACCUCACAGGAAAAAAACAACCGCCUAACCCUAAGAGCACAGCAAAAAGGCUUCAGAUGUGAUGCAUCCAUUAACUCAUGCUGGGACGUGACGGCACUGCUCGACCUAAGCUGGGGAUUCCUCCACUUAUUGUCUCACUGCCGCCCUCACAAAAGCAGACACGACUGCGAGUGAACGCUGUGCACCGGCUGCAGGCUCCCUUCUCACCCCUCAGAAUGGAGCAACAAAGCCAUCACACGGAUCCUACUGCCAGCACCAAGCGCAGCCAAUAUCCAGCCCUCAGCCAGCAGCAGAGCUGAAGUGGGACCCGGUGGCACAGGAGCCCGUGCACAGCGCACACCAAACGCACCCAGAGCCACAUCUCUGAGCUCUGCUGCGUGCACACGGCGGCUGCUUCCCUCUGAAACCCCUUUUUUUUCAGUUUGCAACUAAGAGGGCUGCACUGGAGCACCAAACACAGAGAAAAAGCA